GUGGCGUAGUGGUUAGAGUGUCUGCCUCAGAUGCGGGAGGUCGCAGGUUCGAAUUCCGGUCGAGUCA